UCCCUGAUAGUCCAGUGGUUAGGACACUGCAUUUCCACUGCAGGUGAGGGGGGUGGGGGGGGGGGCUGGAUUAAAUCCCUAGUCAGGAAC
rnacentral:tRNA from 1 species